rnacentral:rRNA from 1 species
GACGAACGCUGGCGGCGUGCUUAACACAUGCAAGUCGAACGGUGAACCUCUUCGGAGGGGAUCAGUGGCGAACGGGUGAGUAACACGUGGGCAACCUGCCCCCGGCUCUGGGAUAACUCCAAGAAAUUGGGGCUAAUACCGGAUGUUCACCGCUUCCCGCAUGGGUGGUGGUGGAAAGGGUUUCCGGCUGGGGAUGGGCCCGCGGCCUAUCAGCUUGUUGGUGGUGUAGUGGCCUACCAAGGCGACGACGGGUAGCCGGCCUGAGAGGGUGACCGGCCACACUGGGACUGAGACACGGCCCAGACUCCUACGGGAGGCAGCAGUGGGGAAUAUUGCGCAAUGGGCGGAAGCCUGACGCAGCGACGCCGCGUGGGGGAUGACGGCCUUCGGGUUGUAAACCUCUUUCAGCAGGGACGGAGCGCAAGUGACGGUACCUGCAGAAGAAGCACCGGCCAACUACGUG